UGUCCAGGGAUGGGAAUCGAACCCACAGUGUUCCGCUUACCGGGCAGAUGCCAUGUCCACUAGGCUAC